UAGACUGCUACGUGCUUAAAGCAGUAACGCGCAUCCAGACACGAAAUGAUGUUGGCGACGGUGGUGUCGGUACGCAUGUGUCGGAUGUACAUUCCGUACGGGCUUCUUGCUUCAGGAAUCAUCUAUCUACUCUCUGGCAUUCUACACAAUCGACUCUUCAACGUUCUCGACGAUGUUCGCACGACGCCCCUUCCGAAGUCAACAUGGAGUUUCCGGAAAUCGAACAACUUGUCUUGG